rfam:Heterocephalus glaber contig151587, whole genome shotgun sequence.
CCGCACUCUAACAUGGAGGCACUUGCUGGACAUGACAAAUAAGUGCUUCCAUGUUUGAGUGAGG